UCAUCAAGGCGCGCACACACAAAUAUGUAUAUACAUGUGUGUAUGUAUGUGUAUGCGUACCUACGUAGGCAUGUAUAUAUGUAGAGAGAGCAUGCUUUCUGCAAUUUACAAAGGCCGGCAUUUUCAGGCCUAUCAAGUUCAUAAACUAUGAAUGACAUGUAUGUAUGUACGUAUGUACGUAUGUAUAGAGAGAGAGAGAGCAUGCCUUCACAGAUUUUUUCAGGUCCAUCAAGUUCAUAAACUAUGAAUGACAUGUAAGUAUGUAUAUAUGUAUGUAUCUAUAGAGAGAGAGACAGCAUGCCUUCACAGAUUUACUAAGGCCCGCAUUUUCAGGUCUGUCAAGUUCAUAAACUAUGGAACCAUUCAUACCACCUACAAGCAAAAAAAU